CACGUAGGGGGCAAGCGUUGUCCGGAUUUAUUGGGCGUAAAGAGCUCGUAGGUGGUUCAGUAAGUCGAGUGUGAAACCUCCAGGCUCAACCUGGAGACGCCACCCGAUACUGCUGUGACUAGAGUCCAGUAGGGGAGCACGGAAUUCCUGGUGUAGCGGUGAAAUGCGCAGAUAUCGGGAGGAACACCGGUGGCGAAGGCGGGUCUCUGGGCCGAUAUUGACGCUGAGGAGCGAAAGCGUGGGGAGCGAACAGG
rnacentral:rRNA from 1 species